rnacentral:rRNA from 1 species
UCGGGAAUUUUGGGCAAUGGGCGCAAGCCUGACCCAGCAACGCCGCGUGAAGGAUGAAGUCCCUCGGGAUGUAAACUUCGAAAGAAUAGGAAGAAUAAAUGACGGUACUAUUUUUAAGCCCCGGCUAACUCCGUGCCAGCAGCCGCGGUAAUACGGAGGGGGCAAGCGUUGUUCGGAUUUACUGGGCGUAAAGGGCGCGUAGGCGGUUUGGUAAGUUACUUGUGAAAUCUCCGGGCUUAACUCGGAGCGGCCAAGUGAUACUGCCGAACUAGAGUGCAGAAGGGGCAAUUGGAAUUCUUGGUGUAGCGGUGAAAUGCGUAGAUAUCAAGAGGAACACCAGAGGCGAAGGCGAAUUGCUGGGCUGACACUGACGCUGAGGCGCGAAAGCUAGGGGAGCAAA